rnacentral:rRNA from 1 species
GACGUAGGGCGCGAGCGUUGUCCGGAUUUAUUGGGCGUAAAGAGCUCGUAGGCGGCUUGUCGCGUCGAUCGUGAAAACUCACAGCUCAACUGUGAGCUUGCGGUCGAUACGGGCAGGCUCGAGUUCGGUAGGGGAGACUGGAAUUCCUGGUGUAGCGGUGGAAUGCGCAGAUAUCAGGAGGAACACCGGUGGCGAAGGCGGUUCUCUGGGAAUAUCCUGACGCUGAGGAGCGAAAGUGUGGGGAGCGAACAGG